AAUUGCGCCGAACGGUUAUAACUUUGAUAAGGGUACUCAAGGUUUACAGCGAUGCCUCGCUGUAAAGGAGAGGUAUUCGGAGUGUCGACACUGAUUAACCGCAGCAUGAAGGACUCACCUGGUGUGAAACCACAUUUUGAGAAAUCUGGUAAGUCACCACCCACCGUGCAGAAACAAGUCAUUAACUAAGUUCCAACUCUAAUGCACAAGCAUGAACCGCAAAAUCUUUUAGUCGAAAGAACAAACCAACAAAAUGAAAGCCUGCCUUUUUUUGUCCAACGAAUAACAACAUGUAGGUCACGGUAGAUCGGCGAAGGUAGAACGGAGGAGCGCUAUUUCACCUGGACUACAUUUUUUCAAUAACGGAUCGCGCGCGCGUUCGUCAUGACGACAAUCGGUAUGUAAAGGCAAAAUCAAUUCGUCGUAGUUUGGAUGAAUUACCGCCAGACUAGAGCUAUCGAUUGGGGUGCGUGCGGCUAAAGCCACAGUUUUGCACUGCUGAUUGACCACAACCAAAAGUGUUCACCUGGUGUGAAACCACAUUAUGGGAAACCUCUGAAAGCUCUACGUAUUACUAUCCAAUUGUGCGUGUGAUUGGGGAGGUCUACCUCUUUCGGAGAUGAAGAGUGAUUUCGCCUAAAUCGAAUCGAAUUUCCAUCGGUUGGCAUCUAGCUGUCAUUAUGAUUGUGCGCUCGUUUGUGAAACAAUUUGUGUCAGUAGGCGAACAACGUAAGCAAUACUGCAACGAAAUGCAUGCUGCUUUCCGCUCUCUUUGGAAUGCUGCAAACCGGAACAACGAUGCACUUUUUUCGAACCCCGUAUUAUGGCUACAAACGAGAUCAAGAAAAUGAAAGAAAAAAAAUACAAUAUCAGUGGAAGGUUGAUAAUUUUUCAACCUAAUUGGGCACAUAAGGAUUGUCGAAACCGUCGAUGUCUUUUGAAAAAUACAAUAAUGGGUAGAGUACAAUCAUGUUCAUGAAAUUGUUAGUAGUAAUUUCUCUUCGAAUGAUUUUUUGUUAUUUUCUGUUAUCUGCCUGACUAUGACAAAACAAAGCACUACCUCCUUAUUUUUCACACUAUCAUAUUGAAACCGACAUCCGCACGGAAUAGAACUAAUAUUUUCCUUCAACUAAGCAAAAAGAGAAAGCUGUUAGCAGGG